rnacentral:tRNA from 1 species
UAGCUCAGUGGUAGAGCGCAUACUUAGCAAGCAUUGAGGUCCUGGGUUCAAUCCCCAG